rnacentral:rRNA from 1 species
GAUGAACGCUAGCUACAGGCUUAACACAUGCGAGUCGAGGGGCAGCAUGGACCCAGCUUUGCUGGGUUUGAUGGCGACCGGCGCACGGGUGAGUAACGCGUAUCCAACCUGCCCUUUACUCCGGGAUAGUCUCCUGAAAGGGAGUUUAAUACCGGAUGUGUUUGUCUUUCCGCAUGGGAGCGACAAAUAAAGAUUAAUUGGUAAAGGAUGGGGAUGCGUCCCAUUAGCUUGUUGGCGGGGUAACGGCCCACCAAGGCGACGAUGGGUAGGGGUUCUGAGAGGAAGGUCCCCCACAUUGGAACUGAGACACGGUCCAAACUCCUACGGGAGGCAGCAGUGAGGAAUAUUGGUCAAUGGGCGGGAGCCUGAACCAGCCAAGUAGCGUGAAGGACGACGGCCCUACGGGUUGUAAACUUCUUUUAUAAGGGAAUAAAGUUCGCCACGUGUGGUGUUUUGUAUGUACCUUAUGAAUAAGCAUCGGCUAAUUCCGUGCCAGCAGCCGCGGUAAUACGGAAGAUGCGAGCGUUAUCCGGAUUUAUUGGGUCUAAAGGGAGCGUAGGCGGGCUUUUAAGUCAGCGGUCAAAUGUCGUGGCUCAACCAUGUCAAGCCGUUGAAACUGUAAGCCUUGAGUCUGCACAGGGCACAUGGAAUUCGUGGUGUAGCGGUGAAAUGCUUAGAUAUCACGAAGAACUCCGAUCGCGAAGGCAUUGUGCCGGGGCAUAACUGACGCUGAGGCUCGAAAGUGCGGGUAUCAAACAGGAUUAGAUACCCUGGUAGUCCGCACGGUAAACGAUGAAUGCUCGCUAUGGGCGAUAUAUUGUCCGUGGCCAAGCGAAAGCGUUAAGCAUUCCACCUGGGGAGUACGCCGGCAACGGUGCAACUCAAAGGAAUUGACGG